GGGUCCACACAGGCAGAGCGGCGCGGCGUGAGGCGUUCCGCACACGCGCCUCUCUUUUUGUUUCUUUCCAGCCAUCCUGAUGAGUGAAGACACCUCAGCCCUGGUGUCAAGGUUCUUGUGACCCCCCUCCUCCCCCGAUCUCCGAGGGAGGUACCAGGUGGUGGCCGGCAUGAUGGGAGCGGCUGUGAGGCAACCUGCGAGGCAGUGAGUGGGUAGCGUUGGAGGCAGAGGCCGUGCUCAGAUGUCUGAGGUGUGGCAGCAGCCGCAGCGUGUUUGCCUACGGCUGCCAUCGCGUGGACGCGACGGGUGCCUCUGACAGCGCCGCGAGUGGGGGGAGAGUAGGGCAGAGUUGGGCCUCGUGCUCUAUGGCGGCAAAAAAAAAAGAAAAGGGGAAUACACGUCAGAAAGGAAGAGCAGCCGUUUCCAGUGUUUUGUUUCACGUGGAGAGCGUCACGCAAGGCGCAUGCGUAUUGCAGAUUCGCGUAUGUACUCGAAGUGGAAAAGGGAAUGAUUUGCCAUGCGGUCGUAUGUGUCUGAGCUCGUUGUCGCCUUUUCGUUUUUUAUUUACUGCUGUUGCCCGUAUUUUGUGAUUCGGUGUGAGCAUUGCACAGGUGGCGGGAGGGAUGGAAGCCGGAGAAGUUUGAUGGUUGCGUGUUGUUGUUUUCGGUGUGUACACGCGCCGAACUCGCUGGGUGUCCCUACCCUUCCACGCGCUGCAUUGGCUCUCCGUGCCGCUUCCGACACCCCUCUUUCAUUUGUCCGUCCAUCUCCCACUCCAGCGUUGCGCGCCCGCGGACGCGGUCAUGCGCGGGCAAAAACAUGCACGCGCAAGCAGCUUCUCGUACGCUGAUGGGUGGCUACAUGCCCUUCCCACACCCGUCCUUGGCCUUGUAUGUUUUGGCUGCUGUGACAGGUGGCGGUGGGGUUUGAUGUAUUUGCCCCCCCCCGUGGUUCGCGUAGCAGCCGUCCUCACGCGAAGUGCACAUACGAUAUAUAUAUAUAUGUGUGUGUGUGUAUACGCGCGUGCGUGCGAGGGGUGCGCAUGCGCGCCUUCUCGUUCCGUCUCUUGUGAGGGCUUGUCUGCCUGUCGCCGUCUUUGGCGGUUGCCCGUUGCGAUUUCAGCGCAACGGACAACAAAAAGCAAAGGGAAUACUUGCCAUGGCACACAUGCCAUGCUGUGCACAUACCCACAUACAGAGACAACCCACUCGCAACGACGUGCAGCUAGCAAGCCCCGCGCCGACUGGUUUCACAGUGGAUGGAACUGCGCUCGUGCUGAGUCCCCCGCUGGAUAUGUUACGAGCAAGGCUAGUGGUGUGCUUCGCUUCGUGGACAAUGAUCGGUGCCGUAGUAGUGCAUGUUGGUGUGUGUGCACAAGCGUGCGUGUGUCUGGUGCUGCCCGGAAAGACGAAAGUAAAGCGCUAGCUCACAGCAUCACCAGGCAAGAACCCACAGGUUUCAAGCAGCUGCUCCACCCCGCUCCACCUUCACCCCGUUCUCUGGUGGGGGAACGUUCGGCGUGAGGGCGACAGAGACCACGAGGGUAGCUGAAACUUUCUGUGUUACUUUCCACACACACACACACACAUACACACGCUGCAGGCUAGUGUCGCACAUCGCAUGUGUUCCGUGGGCGGCCUACGCGCACUACGGCGUCUGCUUGCCCCGCUCCACAGCCCCUUUCCAUUGGUGUCGUCUUCUUCCUCUUCUCCGUUUCGACACCACACGCACGCACACGCGCACGUGCCCGCUGCCCUCUACGGGCUACUGAUGCAUAACACAUCAUCAUCAG
rnacentral:misc_RNA from 1 species